AUUAUGACUGUGCUAAGGUAGCAUAAUAAUUUGUCUUUUAAAUGGGGACUGGAAUGAAAGGUUUUAUGAGGGUAUGUUGAUGAUUUAAUGAACUUUUGAAGUUAAGGUUUAAGUUAAAAUUCUUAAAUUUAUUUGAGGGACGAGAAGACCCUGUGGAUCUUUAUAUUGGAUAUAAUAAAUUAUUAUAAAUGUUUUAUUAUUUUAAAAAUUUGAUUGGGACGAUUAUUAUUUUAACAUAAUUUUAAAGAUUUAUUUUGAUCCUUCUAAAGGAAUUAAGAUUAAGUUACCCCAGGGAUAACAGCGUUAUACUAUUGGAUAGUUCAUAUUGAUAAUAAUGUUUGCGACCUCGAUGUUGAAUUAAAAUUUCUUUUUAAAGCAGAAGUUAAAUUAGUAAGUCUGUUCGACUUUUAAAAUUUU
rnacentral:rRNA from 1 species